rnacentral:rRNA from 1 species
UACGUAGGCAGCAAGCGUUGUUCGGAGUUACUGGGCGUAAAGGGUGUGUAGGCGGUUGUUUAAGUUUGGUGUGAAAUCUCCCGGCUCAACUGGGAGGGUGCGCCGAAUACUGAAUGACUUCGAGUGCGGGAGAGGAGAGUGGAAUUCCUGGUGUAGCGGUGAAAUGCGUAGAUAUCAGGAGGAACACCGGUGGUGUAGACGGCUCUCUGGACCGUAACUGACGCUGAGACACGAAAGCGUGGGUAGCAAACAGG